rnacentral:rRNA from 1 species
UACGUAGGUGGCAAGCGUUGUCCGGAUUUAUUGGGUUUAAAGGGUGCGUAGGCGGCUUUGUAAGUCAGUGGUGAAAUAUGGCAGCUCAACUGUCAGGGUGCCAUUGAUACUGCGGAGCUUGAGUACAGAUGAGGUAGGCGGAAUUGACGGUGUAGCGGUGAAAUGCUUAGAUAUCGUCAAGAACACCGAUAGCGAAGGCAGCUUACUAGGCUGUAACUGACACUGAGGCACGAAAGUGUGGGGAUCAAACAGG